rnacentral:rRNA from 1 species
AUUGAACGCUGGCGGCAUGCCUUACACAUGCAAGUCGAACGGUAACAGGUCUUCGGAUGCUGACGAGUGGCGAACGGGUGAGUAAUACAUCGGAACGUGCCCGAUCGUGGGGGAUAACGAGGCGAAAGCUUUGCUAAUACCGCAUACGAUCUACGGAUGAAAGCGGGGGAUCUUCGGACCUCGCGCGGACGGAGCGGCCGAUGGCAGAUUAGGUAGUUGGUGGGAUAAAAGCUUACCAAGCCGACGAUCUGUAGCUGGUCUGAGAGGAUGAUCAGCCACACUGGGACUGAGACACGGCCCAGACUCCUACGGGAGGCAGCAGUGGGGAAUUUUGGACAAUGGGCGAAAGCCUGAUCCAGCCAUGCCGCGCGCAGGAUGAAGGCCUUCGGGUUGUAAACUGCUUUUGUACGGAACGAAAAGCCUCUUUCUAAUAAAGAGGGGUCAUGACGGUACCGUAAGAAUAAGCACCGGCUAACUACGUG